rnacentral:rRNA from 1 species
AUUGAACGCUGGCGGCAGGCCUAACACAUGCAAGUCGGACGGUAGCACAGAGGAGCUUGCUCCUCGGGUGACGAGUGGCGGACGGGUGAGUAAUGUCUGGGGAUCUGCCCGAUAGAGGGGGAUAACCACUGGAAACGGUGGCUAAUACCGCAUAACGUCGCAAGACCAAAGAGGGGGACCUUCGGGCCACUCACUAUCGGAUGAACCCAGAUGGGAUUAGCUAGUAGGCGGGGUAAUGGCCACCCUAGGCGACGAUCCCUAGCUGGCCUGAGAGGGGGACCAGCCACACGGGAACUGAGGCACGGUCCAGACUCCUACGGGAGGCAGCAGUGGGGAAUAUUGCACAAUGGGCGCAAGCCUGAUGCAGCCAUGCCGCGUGUAUGAAGAAGGCCUGCGGGUUGUAAAGUACUUUCAGCGGGGAGGAAGGCGGUGAGGUUAAUAACCUUGCCGAUUGACGUUACCCGCAGAAGAAGCACCGGCUAACUCCGUGCCAGCCGCCGCCGUAA